GAAGAAGAAGAAGGAGGAGAAAAAGAAGGCAAAGAAAAAGGUAAGGAUGUGGAUGAAAGACCUGCUUACAUGGAUGACUUUGAUGAUGAUUUUGGUCAGUACAUGAAGGGUGAGCAUGAUGUAGAUCUUUUCCCUGAAGAAGAAGUUUUUACUCCAGUAGAUCCUAGCAAAAUGGAGCAAUGAAGACUUCAUCUGAGACCCAUUUAAAACCGUCACAAUCUGUACAAGUGAGGUUUGAUUUUGCAGUGGGCAGUUUUUGAAGCAAUGACCAGAUUCUCCGCAAGCGUAACAACCAUUCUCUACUGGUAAUUUCACCAUCUUGCAUUUGACAGGAUCGAUGGCAUCGUCAAACCAUUCAAAGUACUGACAGGUUGGAAUUGAACACUUCAAAAACAU